AUGAACGCUAGCGGCAGGCUUAACACAUGCAAGUCGAGGGGCAGCGAGAUUGAAGCUUGCUUCAAUUGUCGGCGACCGGCGGACGGGUGCGUAACGCGUAUGCAACCUACCCAUAACAGGGGGAUAACACUGAGAAAUUGGUACUAAUACCCCAUAACAUCUCGAGUGGCAUCACUUGGGGUUGAAAGCUUCGGUGGUUAUGGAUGGGCAUGCGUUGUAUUAGCUAGUUGGUGAGGUAACGGCUCACCAAGGCGACGAUACAUAGGGGGACUGAGAGGUUAACCCCCCACAUUGGUACUGAGACACGGACCAAACUCCUACGGGAGGCAGCAGUGAGGAAUAUUGGUCAAUGGACGGAAGUCUGAACCAGCCAUGCCGCGUGCAGGAUGACGGCUCUAUGAGUUGUAAACUGCUUUUGUACGAGGGUAAACCCGAAUACGUGUAUUCGGCUGAAAGUAUCGUACGAAUAAGGAUCGGCUAACUCCGUGCCAGCAGCCGCGGUAAUACGGAGGAUCCAAGCGUUAUCCGGAUUUAUUGGGUUUAAAGGGUGCGUAGGCGGUUAGAUAAGUUAGAGGUGAAAUUCCGGUGCUUAACACCGGCGCUGCCUCUAAUACUGUUUGACUAGAGAGUAGUUGCGGUAGGCGGAAUGUAUGGUGUAGCGGUGAAAUGCUUAGAGAUCAUACAGAACACCGAUUGCGAAGGCAGCUUACCAAGCUAUAUCUGACGUUGAGGCACGAAAGCGUGGGGAGCAAACAGGAUUAGAUACCCUGGUAGUCCACGCAGUAAACGAUGAUAACUCGUUGUCGGCGAUACAAUGUCGGUGCCUAAGCGAAAGCGAUAAGUUAUCCACCUGGGGAGUACGUUCGCAAGAAUGAAACUCAAAGGAAUUGACGGGGGCCCGCACAAGCGGUGGAGCAUGUGGUUUAAUUCGAAGCAACGCGAAGAACCUUACCAGGUCUUGACAUCGAUCUAAAGGCUCCAGAGAUGGAGAGAUAGCUAUAGAGAAGACAGGUGGUGCAUGGUUGUCGUCAGCUCGUGCCGUGAGGUGUCGGGUUAAGUCCCAUAACGAGCGCAACCCCUACCGUUAGUUGCCAUCAGGUAAAGCUGGGCACUCUAGCGGGACUGCCGGUGUAAGCCGAGAGGAAGGUGGGGAUGACGUCAAAUCAGCACGGCCCUUACGUCCGGGGCUACACACGUGUUACAAUGGUAGGUACAGAGGGCAGCUACCCUGCGAAGGGAUGCGAAUCUCGAAAGCCUAUCUCAGUUCGGAUUGGAGGCUGAAACCCGCCUCCAUGAAGUUGGAUUCGCUAGUAAUCGCGCAUCAGCCAUGGCGCGGUGAAUACGUUCCCGGGCCUUGUACACACCGCCCGUCAAGCCAUGGGAGCUGGGGGUGCCUGAAGUUCGUGACCGCAAGGAGCGACCUAGGGCAAAACCGGUAACUGGGGCU
rnacentral:rRNA from 1 species